ACAAAUUGCUCGGUUGGACCAUAAAAGCUUAGAAAUCACAUAAAAUAAUGGGAUUUCUUGCAAUCGGGAGGGCUUUUAUGCUCUUUGUUCGUCGUGGCUGCUGUUGGCAGCAAGUAUGGGCUGAGGAUUACCUAUGGACUGAUCGUCCAAGGCCCCAAGCCUUGUCGAAAAUCAGAAAGUGAUUUUCGGGGCGUUUCUCGGCGAAAUCCGCUGACGGAACGCGGGUUCGGUUCGGAAUUAUUCCGACGGUGCUUCAUGAUGGAUUGUUUAGUCGCUGGGCCUUGUUGGCUGGUCACUCGCAUCAUUUCGAGGGUUCGGAAAUGACGGGUGAGCGACGGGGAGUUCCGGUGUCAAAUUGGACACUUCCGGGAACCCGGAUCGAAACGAUUAUCCGACGAUAAUUGUUUCGACGUGAGGAGUUGUGUUUGCUGCCAUAAUGCACGAUUAAUUAUGUUUAGUGGUAGCGGGUGACUCGUAGCGCGAGUCGGUGUGUUCCGGGAUAGUUCGUGGGUCCCGGCGGAGUCCCAGUGCGAUUUUUGGGACUUCCGGCGAGUUACGGUAGUCGGUUUUGGGAAACCGAUCUCCGUGGGUUUGUUAGUGGGAUUAUGAUUUAGUAUUUCUUAGUUGUGGGUUAGACACUAACCCGGUGGACCUUCCUUAGGUCCGGUUGACAUUCUUUCGGAGACAGGAGACAUGCGCGACAUCCUUACAGGUGGGUACUUCGAUCCGACGUCGGUACAGUGGUGCACGCUCGGUAAUGGUUUCUUACCCUUACUUUGUUGUUGUUACUAUUGCAUAGUAUAUAUUGAGCCUUGCACCCAUAUUAUUCCAUUAUACUCUGCUUGUUAUUUGCAUGCUUAGUAUCCUGAGUAGGAGUAGAGUAGUUCUAUCUAUAUGCAUAUCUGUUGACCUGGUUGGCCGGUUGUUGCAUUCCGUAUCUGUUGACCUGGUUGGUCGGUUGUUGCAUUCCGUAUCUGUUGACUAGGUUGGUCGGUUCUCGUACUUCGUAUCAGUGACCUUGCUGGUCGGUUGGACUCUGUGGGCCUUGGGUCCAGGCAACACAUCGACUCUCUUGUCAUGUGUUUCGAUCUGGUUGAUCGUGGUUCGGCGUUGUAACAUACCAGAUUUUGGUAUAAAAAUAAUAAAUAAAUAAAAAUAGUGUGAGAUACUAUUUUUAUUGGAUUUAUAGAAGUAAAACAUAAGUCAGAAGUGACUUGUGCUGAAAUCGGAAUUAAAACAGAAGAUCUAGAAUUUUCUGUUGGAAACGGGACAGAUAGAUUAGCAGAAAAUGCACAGUCUCAGAAAAUUAUGAAAAUUCGAGGAUAAGUCAGAAAUAUUUUUAUGAGGCUAGAUUUAAAGUUUCGUAUUUUUCUGACACCCGGAAGGUGGGAAAUAAAAUCCCACAGCUAUCUGUUAAAGGUUACAGUUCGGUACAGUUUUCGGUGACCGAACGGGGUCGAAACUGAACGAGUGAUCGUCAGCUUGUUAAGUUAAGUAAAACCGAGCAUGACUGUCAAGUUUGAGCUCAAACGGAUAUUCAGGGAGCUCCGGCGAAAAAUAUCAGAUUUUAAGCUGCCCGAGAGUGAAUAGUGUUUGAGAGUGUAGUAUAUAAGAAGCAUGAUGCUUCUUCUUCCUCCUUCAGCCGUGCACACCCCCACACACCGCACGCACGCAUGGAGAUAGAGAGAGAAACACCUCUCCCUCUCUCUAGAUAUCUCUCUCAUCUCUCUAUAUCUCUCUCUGAAAAUUGGAGGGUUGGUGGAGAAGAUGCUUGCGAACGCGUUGGAGGCGACGGAUCGAGCUUUCGUGCGCCCGUUGGAGCGGCGUGUUUUCGUCGCGGCGUUCACAUUGAGGUAAGCUUUUAGGAUUUGGCUUAAUCCUUGGUUUUAAGUGUUCUAAUAGCUUCUAUAAUGAGCAUUCUAAACAUGUUUGCUCUAUUUAAUUUGGAUUAUUUGGAGAUUAAUUCAUGUUAGGUUUAGAAAAUGGGGUUUUAUAAAAUAUGAGGGUUUGAUCUCAUUUGACCCUUCGUAAACCAAAUUGCUAGGUAAACGAACGCGUUGGCGAAGUCGGUUCGGCGAUCCGUCGAGCCGUUGUAAAGUUAUUAAAGAAACGGACGUUUAGGCUUCGUUUCCGCCUGGAGGGCCGAGGCGAUAUCGUAAACCCAUGAAAACGGAUUUGAGGCAUCGUGGCACAUAACCGAAGACCUUUAAUUUUCGGAUCGUGAAUUGGAGGCCGUUCGGGUGGUCGCGCGAGAGAUCGGGCCAAACCGGGUUACGGGUGCUGCGGGCGGCCGAUUGCAAGUGUCGACAAGCAAUCGGAAUGCGAAAUGAGGUGGGUUGUGCUUACCGAAGCGACUAGGUCGCCUUCUAUGUCUAAGAGAAAUGAGAUUUCAUAUUGAUGCAUGUUGACAUAUAAUGUGAAAUGCUAGAGGAAUGCAUUUGACAUAAUGUAAGAAUGUGAAAAGAAUGCAUGAAAACAUAUUAUAGAAAUGCUAGAUAAAUGCAUGUGAUUAAUGUUUUGAAUGCAUAAGAUAAAGGGCAUAUGAAUGUUAACAUUAUAAGAACAUGAUAAAAGGAAUGCAUGAUGACUUAGUGUAAAUAGUGCUAGAUGAAUGCAUUGAUUAAUGCUAAAGUAUACAUGAUAAGCAUGCAUGUGGAUAAUGCUAAGUAAUGGUAUGAUAAGCAUGAUGUAGAAAUAAUAAAUGCAAGCACGUGGUUAAUGCUAAGAAUAUAGAUGAUGACAUGAUAAAAAUGCUAAGUAAUGGUAUGAUAAGCAUGUUUAGGGAUGCUAAAAUAAGAAUGCUAAGUAAAGGACUUAUCAUGUGAUGGUAGUGGUAUAUGUGCAUGUUGACAUUUACAUGUUAAACUUGGGGUCGAUAACUCUAGGUUGAUUAGAGAACUCGACAUUGGAAACCUAGUGUAAUGCUCGAUGUGGACAAUCUAUAUACAUUAGAUCGAGUGGCAUAUGAACCUAGAGUCAUGGACAUAGGUUAAACAAGUAUUGUGUGAAAGAACAUAGGUUGGACAUGAACCUAGUGUUAAAGAACAUAGGUUGGAUAUGAACCUAAUGUUAAAGAACAUAGGUUGGGCAUUGGACCUAGUGUUAAAGAACAUAGGUUGGACAUGAACCUAGUGUUAAAGAAAGUAGUUAAACAAGGUUUAACCCAAAGUGACAUUGUGGCUUGGUAUUAGCGGUAUAUGCAUGAUUAGGUAAAAACCUAUCAUUGACAUUGAGGCAUAGAGAUAUGGAACAGGUUUGCUAUACCUCCUCAAAUUGAGGAUGGGAUCGUACUCACAUGUAUCGGUUCCGGCUUGUGCGAGGUCGCACCUCUACGGGCGGUGUACUCCGGAGUAUAGACACCACGGGUGAGAGUGCCCGGCGAAGAUCCCUCGGGUGACAGUGCCUUGCGCCUUCCUCGGUAGACGGGAUGAUCCCUCGGGGCAUUUCCUAAUGCUAAUCCCGGUAGAUGGGACAUGUGAGAUGUGAGCUUUGGGGGAACUUGAUGAACCCCGGAAAGAUUGGGUAAAGGCUAAAGUGAAUGUGUGAAAGUAUGCAUUAUGAGCCUGGAUGUAUGCGGUAUUCCGCAGAUGAUUGACUCGAGACCGAGUCGGGUGGUUAGCUUGGCUAAGGUAGAGGAAAACCUUAGGAGCAAAUAACCAACGAUGUAAAGUGACAAGAUGUAUAAAUUAUGAAAAAGCUAUGGAUAGCAUGAUAGAAAGUUAAAUCAUUUAUUCUAUUAUAUAGUUGCAUGAUUCGCAUAUAGCAUGGCAUUCUUGCAUUCGUGAGGCAAAGCAUGGUUUUAUUAGUUGCAUAAUCAAGAUAUGUAUCUAUCUGUUUAUUGAACUAACCUGUUGUUGCCUCUUUUGGACCUAUUGGUC
rnacentral:lncRNA from 1 species